rnacentral:lncRNA from 1 species
CUGUCAUUUCCCGCUCUCUACUCCCAGGUGCCAUUUGUCCCCUGGUCCAAUUCCUAGCCCCGUCCUCGGGUCAGAUACUGCCCCUCAGACCACCCACCAUGAGACUCAGCCUCCCUGGAGAGUGGCCUCCUGAGGCAGGAGGUUCUCCCAGGCCCUCAGGACUCUGAGCUGCACUUGUAGCCUCUGGGCCUCCCCUCCCCCCUUCCCUGAACCACAUCCAGACUCAAGCCCCUGGGCAGGCCGCCCUAGGCCCCAGAGAGGUCUCCACCCCACGCCUGACCAGGACUCUGUUCCACUGACCCACCCUCCUGGAGGGCCCAGAGCAGAGACCCUGGCCCUGAGCCCACACAGACCUCAGCACACAAAGAGGCCAGACACCGCAUUCCAUUUAAGAACACUUUAUUUGGCUCACUUUCAAAUCGUUCUUCUCAAAACAGCAGAAGCGAACAAAACGAUCAAAGCAGAUCGCCGACUUAAAACACAGCGAAGAAAACUUCUGGUAGAUAAAAAAUCAACUUCUUGCGGUCAUCUUUCCAGUAACAGCAAUAUUAUAUUACAUUAUAUAUAUACAUUACGUGAUACAUAUGUAUAUAGAGAGAGAGUACAUGUUAUAUAAUAUAUAUUACAUUAUAUAUUUAAUAUAUAUCUUAUCUUACAUCAUAUAUAUAAUAUAUAUCUUAGAUAUAGAGGAUAUCACAUAAUAUUACAGUAACAGUAAUAUUUUCUGUUUGUGCUGAUCAUUCCAUUGAUCGUUUCAACUGUCAGUCCUCGAGGAAGGCAAAACAGGCUCCAUUUCUACAUGGUCGGAGUCUUCCACAUCAGCCGAACUGGUUUCUCUUAAAUCAAGUUUCACAUAGCUUUCUGAAGUCGUGUCGAUCGUUUCUUAAACCAACUUUCACAUCUGUUUCUUAAAUCAAGCUUCACAGAGUUUUCUGAAGUCCUGUCGAUCGUUUCCUAAAUCAGGUUUCACUUCUGUUUCUUAAAUCAAGUUUCACUUCUGUUUCUUAAAUCAAGUUUCACUUCUGUUUCUUAAAUCAAGUUUCACAUCUGUUUCUGAAACCAAGUUUCACAUUGUUUGCUUACACCAUGUAUGCAGGAAUUGGGUCCCGAGGCUGCUGCUUCUGAAAGAAACAUGUCAUAGUUUUUAGAGGGUUAGACACAAACGGGUUUUCAGUAACAGCGGCGAUCUUGGCCGUUACAUGUACAAGCAGUUUCUGAGCUGCAGACCGGCACAUCGGUUUUAGGAACAUCCUGAUCGCGUUCUCUCGAGCAGUUAAUCUCUUUGGUAAACAUCGCAUCAUCGUAUCUAGGAGAAACGUUGCCAUGAAGCGCUCUAGAGAGUCCCUAACGAUGCUUUUUAGAGAAGAGAUGAUGGAAUCCUUGGAAAUCAUAAUGAGGCCAACGCUACUUAAAAAAUGUUGAAAGCUACUCACCGCUCCUUCGGUCGGGAGAGGCGCCACGCAGCAGGCAGGGACCCAGGAGAAGCCGCAGGCCUGGGGAGGGUUGGCGGAGAAGAGUGAGAGGGGAGGGCCUGAGACAGAGCCUUUAUUGGGGUUUCCAGGAAGGGCUCCGUGGUGGGGCGGAGCAAACAGUUGAAAGUCGUCCAAUCGGAAUCGUCCUGGAGGGGGGAGCGAGAGGGGCGGUGUCUGGUGGCCUGGGAUCUGGCCCUGGGACAAUUCAGGGCAGGGAAAAGACUGGCUUGGCUUAGGAGCCUUGGAAAAGGAGCUAGUAGUGUCUCAAGAAAGCCGCCCCAAUCCCCUUGGAUUUGCCUGCUAGGAAAUGUUCAUUUGAAGCCACGGAGGCCACAAAGGCUCCCAAACAUUUGAAAACGAGAAAGAAGAAGUUGUCUAGCACCAGAAAGGCCAGCCCCCAAGACAGCCGUUCACCGUCUUUAGGAACUGGCCAGUCCCGGCAGGGGCAGUCUCUCCCAGGGGCUGGAAGGCCCCCGAGUGUCACAGCUCCCAGAAUACCCAAAGGAAACCCUGGAGUUCCUCGAAUUGGCCCUGGGGGAAUGGAUGCCCACGACAACAUGUUGCUGUAGGAACAGUCACUACACGACCCCGGAUGGCUUCAUGUGAUCCCAGAAAGUGGGCAGGCGUUCCGGGCAAACGUGGACUAGGUUGACACAUCUCUUGAAAACGCCACUUGGAAUUCACCCGUUUGCUGGGAGAUUAGAGCCGAAGUCUCAGUAACUCUUCGGUGAAGCAGGCCGAGAAAUCAGUGAGGACACGGAACACUGGAACAAGGCAGGAAACUGGAUCGAGAGACCUAGGCAGAUGUCGUAUUGUAAUCCAUUCUUUCAAGACAACCUGGAACAUCGACGAAUGUCUGCACCAUAGCAGUCCAGAGUGCCAACUGCAGAAAGACGCCAAGAUGGAGCGUUCUGGGAACACUGGAGUGUUAGCUGAGAAGACGGAGCGGGAGGAAAAGCAGAGAGACACCAUCUCUUUGGAAUCAAGCCUUUUUUUUUGUUUUUUAAAAACACUCACGCCCUGAAGGAGAAAUGAGAAUGGAAAAAGGAAAACACGGAUCAGCGACAGUGUAAGCACUUUCUGGAAAGCUCCCAAGAAGCAGGGGUAGUGGGACUUGUGGGCAAAUGGGAAGGGCAAAAGUGCUUCAAGUGAAAAAGCGGAGAAGGGUGGCUGUCAGCGAGCCACCUAGCCACUUUUAAAAGUAAGACAAAGAACAAAACGCGCAAGAAAAAGGAAAAUGAAGUGAAAAGCCACAGGCUCAGAAGAUGGUUCCUAUGAGAUGCUGGCCUCCGCCCAGCAGGCUUCGGGAGCAGAGCAAAGAGAGCAAGGGCCUUCAGGAAGUCCCUGGGGCAGUCAGCUCCCAGACUGCUGUGAGAGGUGGGAUGGGGCUGGGGACAGGGGCAGGUGCCUCAGAGGGAUGGGGGUGCUCCCGGUAGGAGUGAGGAGCUGAGGGAGCUGGCUGCUGCUGAGCAUGCGGGCUCAGUCUUCCCAUCCAAGAACUCUGUCUCUCCGCAGCGGCCACAAGUGCAGAGCGUCCCUGUGCUGGGCCGCCAGCGCCUGGGCCUCGGCACCGGCCGGGCGCCCUUCAGGGUGCAGCAUUUGCAGGCUGCAUCCCAAAUGAGUGGGAUUUCGGGG